GGGCUUCCCCUUCGGGGGCAGAGUGACAGGUGGUGCCUGGUUGUCGUCAGCUCGUGUUGUGAAAUGUUGGGUUAAGUCCCGCAACGAGCGCAACCCUUGAUCUUAGUUGCCAGCAUUCAGUUGGGCACUCUAAGGUGACUGCCGGUGACAAACCGGAGGAAGGUGGGGAUGACGUCAAAUCAUCAUGCCCCUUAUGACCUGGGCUACACACGUGCUACAAUGGGCAGAACAAAGGGCAGCGAAGCCGCGAGGCUAAGCCAAUCCCACAAAUCUGUUCUCAGUUCGGAUCGCAGUCUGCAACUCGACUGCGUGAAGCUGGAAUCGCUAGUAAUCGCGGAUCAGCAUGCCGCGGUGAAUACGUUCCCGGGCCUUGUACACACCGCCCGUCACACCACGAGAGUUUGUAACACCCGAAGUCGGUGAGGUAACCUUUUGGAGCCAGCCGCCGAAGGUGGGACAGAUGAUUGGGGUGAAGUCGUAACAAGGUAGCCGUAUCGGAAGGUGCGGCUGGAUCACCUCCUUU
rnacentral:rRNA from 1 species